GACGAACGCUGGCGGCGUGCUUAACACAUGCAAGUCGAACGGAAAGGCCCUGCUUUUGUGGGGUGCUCGAGUGGCGAACGUGUGAGUAACACGGGAGUAACCUGCCCUUCACUUUGGGAUAACUUCAGGAAACUGGGGCUAAUACCGGAUAGGAGCUCCUGCUGCAUGGUGGGGGUUGGAAAGUUUCGGCGGGUGGGGAUGGAGUCGCGGCUUAUCAGCUUGUGGGUGGGGUAGUGGCUUACCAAGGCUUUGGCGGGUAGCCGGCCUGAGAGGGUGACCGGCCACAUUGGGACUGAGAUACGGCCCAGACUCCUACGGGAGGCAGCAGUGGGGAAUAUUGCACCAUGGGCGGAAGCCUGAUGCAGCAACGCCGCGUGCGGGAUGACGGCCUUCGGGUUGUAAACCGCUUUCGCCUGUGACGAAGCGUGAGUGACGGUAAUGGGUAAAGAAGCACCGGCUAACUACGUG
rnacentral:rRNA from 1 species